rnacentral:lncRNA from 1 species
ACAAUUCUUGGUUGCUUUAAGCUUGACUUACGAGUAAGAACAAUUAAAUAGAGAUGUUGGUAAACCAAUUUGAUUAAAAACACACUUAAAUUUCAAAAAGUACUCAUGCAAUUAUAAAAAUACGAAAGAAAAAUUAAAGUGCUAAGAUAAAGUCAUGGUGAACUAGAGCCACCCAAAAGUACAUUACAAAAUUCCCAAAAACCAAAAACAGAAUUAGUAAAAAGAAACUCAAA